rnacentral:rRNA from 18 species
AUCAAAAACACAGCACUGUGCUAACUCGCAAGAGGACGUAUACAGUGUGACGCCUGCCCAAUGCCGGAAUGUCACGGAAGCGGGUUAGCUUCGGCGAAGCUCGUAACCUAAGCACCGGUCAAUGGCGGCCGUAACUAUAACGGUCCUAAGGUAGCGAAGUUCCUUGUCGGGUAAGUUCCGACGCGCAUGAAUGGCGUAACGACUGGAGCACUGUCUCCACUUCCGACUCGGUGAAAUAGUAGUGGCGGUGAAGAUGCCGCCUACCCGCGACAAGACGGAAAGACCCCAUGAACCUUUACUAUAGCUUAGCAUUGGGAUUGUAUAUAUAAUGUGUAGGAUAGGCGGGAGACUAUGAAGCGGUGUCGCUAGGCAUUGUGGAGUCGCUGUUGAAAUACCGCCCUUUAUCUAUUUGAUUCCUAAUCCGGCAACGGAGACAUUGCUUGGUGGGUAGUUUGACUGGGGUGGUCGCCUCCAAAAGAGUAACGGAGGCUUUCAAAGGUACCCUCAGUACGGUUGGUAAUCGUACGUAGAGUGCAAUAGCAAAAGGGUGCUUGACUGUGAGGCCAACAAGCCGAUCAGGGUCGAAAGACGGAUAUAGUGAUCCGGUGGUUCCGUAUGGAAGGGCCAUCGCUCAAAGGAUAAAAGGUACUCCGGGGAUAACAGGCUGAUGAUGCCCAAGAGUCCAUAUCGACGGCAUCGUUUGGCACCUCGAUGUCGGCUCAUCACAUCCUGGGGCUGAAGCCGGUCCCAAGGGUAUGGCUGUUCGCCAUUUAAAGCGGUACGUGAGUUGGGUUCAGAACGUCGUGAGACAGUUCGGUCCCUAUCUGCCGUGGGUGUAGGAAUAUUGAUAGGAUCUGUCCCUAGUACGAGAGGACCGGGAUGGACGUAUCUCUGGUGGACCUGUUGUCGUGCCAACGGCAUAGCAGGGUAGCUAUAUACGGGAUGGAUAACCGCUGAAGGCAUCUAAGCGGGAAACCGGCCAAAAAACGAGUAUUCCCUGAGAGUCGUGGAAGACUACCACGUUGAUAGGCUGGGUGUGGAAGCGCAGUAAUGUGUGAAGCUUACCAGUACUAAUAGCUCGAUCGGCUUGAU